CAGAAAGGUGCCAGCCCAGUCACUGCAAUGCAAUGUUAUUACCUGCAUCAGAGUCAGAGAGAGGUCUCCACAGAGAAGGAUACCCUCUCUCCUGAAUCCUCUGAGGAUGGGGAGGCAAGACUGACAUCUAUCAACUGUCCUUUCACCUUCUCAUGCUUCUCUCCAUUCAUCUUCCCUAUAUGGCAGAGAGGACGCUCCAACUGGCCUCAUUUUGCAGAUGAGAAGAGCAAGGCUCAGAGAGGUAAAGGAACACGCCCAAGGUCACAGCACAGAGAUUCAAACCCAGAUUUAUUUAUGUGACUCAAACCUCCGAUUGGGGAUUAAUGAAGACAACAUACUAUGAACGCCAAAGAAGUUGUAAUUAAAGCACCAGGCUGAUGAACACAUUUCAUAACCAGGAACUACCUCUGCUUCCCUUGCUCUUCAAUAUGACAAGCCUUCGAUGGUGGUCUACCCCACUGUAAGAUUAACCUCUGUAUAAGAGAGCAUCAUGGCGGGAGAUCCAUGCCCAAGUAACCAUGAAGUCAUCUUGGAAGAAUGGUGAAGCCUCCGGAAGCCAGAUCCUUGAAUGACUGUUUGAAGAUCAGCUGGCUAACAUCAAUACCCCUGUCAACUGGAAUUUACAAAAAGAAAAUACAAAUGUCUAUAAUAUCAGGCCCCUGAAAUGUGGGUGGGAAGGUGAGGGAGGUUUUUUACAGUAGUUAUCUUACUCUGACUAAUGCAGCAUGCAAGAGCCCAGGAAAAGUAAAUGAUGCUCAGUCUGAAUGUGCCUGUUCUGACCUCCAUUCUGGUCACCUUUUCUUUGACCUCCCCUUCUGCUUGCUCUCUAAUAACUGACCCUGAGCUAGAGAAUGAUGGGGAAAAACAUGUUGGGUUGUUCCAUACUAGCAUGUUAAUCUGACUUUGGAAAAGACACUAUGAAGAUAAGAGAAGAACAUGUAUUCUUGAGGAGAGUAAUGCUAUCCUAACCAACAAAUGUGUGUUGGACACAUUCUCUAAAGGAUUCAUUCUGCUAGGUGCUAGGAAUACAAAGGCAUCAAACCUCAUCUCCACCUUGGAAUUAAAACAAAAACAAAAGAUACAGUCAUAUCUUUCUACAAGCUUACAAAUUUGGGGGGAAAAUAUGACUUCAAAGAUAGUUGGCUAAUGAAAGAAGACAUGCUUUAGAGUUGAACAGAACUGAUUUGACAUACCAGAUAUGCCAUUUAUUUGGUUUACGGAAAAUGAAUCAGUCUGUGCCUCAGUAUACUCAUCUUUAAACUAGGAUGAUACCUGAUAAACAUGGUUAAGUUUUUAUUUCAAAAUAAUUUUGAACUUAUGGAAGAGUUGCAAAAGAGUUCCCACUUACCCUUCACCCAGCUUCCCCUAAUGUCAACAAUUUACAUAGCCAUCACAUAAUUAUCAAAACUAGGAAAUUAACAUUGGUACAGUACAAAUAACCAAACAACACACCUUAUUGGGAUUUCUCCAGUUUUUCUGGAGAAACGUUCUUUUUCUGUUCCAGUGUCCAAUCCCCAGACACCACCUUCCAUCUGGUCAUCAUGUCCCUCAGUCUCCUUCACUCUAUGACAGUUUUUUUGUUUUCCUUGUAUCUUGUGACCUCACCACUUUCGAAGAGUACCAGUCAUGUAUUUUGUAGAAUGUCUCUCAAUUUUAGUGUUUUCUCCUGAUUAGAUUAAGUUUAUAGAUUUGGGGAAAGAAUACCAUAGAGGUAAACUGUCUUUCACAUCACAUCAUGUGAGGAGGUACAUAACAUCAACAAGACUUGUUACUGGUGAUGUUAACCUUGAUCAUUUGGUUAAGGUGGUGUCUGCAAUGUUUCCCCACAGUAAAGUUACUGUUUUUCCCAUUCAAUAGAAGUGAGUCAUCCUUAUAUAUUCUUUGGUAAGGUGUAUAUUCAGAUCUUUUGCCCAUUUUUAAUUACUACUUAGUUUUAAGAGUUUUUUAUAUAUUCUAUAUAUAAGACCUGCAUCAUACAUGUGAUCUGAAAUAUGUUUCCAAGUCUGUGGCUUAUCUUUUCAUUCCCUAAGAAUGUCUUUUGCAGACCAAAUGUUUUUAAUUUUGAUAAAUUCCAAUUUAUCAAUUAUUUUUUCUUUCAUUGGCUAUAGUUUGGUGUCAUGCUCUGUCAAACCAAAAAUGAGGCAAAUUUUCUCCUAUGUUUUCUUCUAGAGGUUUUAUAAUUUCAGGUUUUAUAUUUAGGUUCAUAAUUCAUUUUUGAAUUAAUUUUUGUAUAAGGUAUGAGAUAUGUGUCUAGGUUAAUUUUUUGAAUAUGGACACCCAAUUAUUCCAGCACCAUUUGCUGAAAAGACAAUCCAUUCUACACUGAAUUGCUUUGCAAUUUUAUCAAAAAUGCAUUGAUUGUAUUUGUGUGAGUCUAUUUCUAGACUCUAUUCUGUUGCAUUGAUCUGUGUUCUAUCCUUUCACCAAUACCAUCCUGUCUUGAUUACUGUAGCUUUAUAGUAAGUGGUCAAAUUAGGUAGUAUGUGUUUUCCAACCUUGCUUUUAUGUGACAGAAUUAUUUUGGCUAUUCCAACUCCUUUACUUUUCCAUAUAAGUUUCAGAAUCAGCUUGUUGAGAGCAGCAAAGAGGAAUAAGCUGUAUCUCAUUUUUUAUCUAAUCUGAAAA